GACGAACGCUGGCGGCGUGCUUAACACAUGCAAGUCGAACGGAAAGGCCCUGCUUUUGUGGGGUGCUCGAGUGGCGAACGGGUGAGUAACAAGUGAGUAACCUGCCCUUGACUUUGGGAUAACUUCAGGAAACUGGGGCUAAUACCGGAUAGGAGCUCCUGCUGCAUGGUGGGGGUUGGAAAGUUUCGGCGGUUGGGGAUGGACUCGCGGCUUAUCAGCUUGUUGGUGGGGUAGUGGCUUACCAAGGCUUUGACGGGUAGCCGGCCUGAGAGGGUGACCGGCCACAUUGGGACUGAGAUACGGCCCAGACUCCUACGGGAGGCAGCAGUGGGGAAUAUUGCACAAUGGGCGGAAGCCUGAUGCAGCAACGCCGCGUGCGGGAUGACGUCCUUCGGGUUGUAAACCGCUUUCGCCUGUGACGAAGCGUGAGUGACGGUAAUGGGUAAAGAAGCACCGGCUAACUACGUG
rnacentral:rRNA from 1 species